rnacentral:lncRNA from 1 species
GAUUUCAUUUUGUAGUUGCACACCCUUUACUAUCAUCUUUUGUAUUUGAUGAUUUUAGUAUUAUGAACUUGUUUUAAUGAAUGAUGUAAAGAAUAUUUAUUUUAAAUGUCAAAAGUUAUAUUUUGGGAGAAAUGAGAUGUAAAAAAAAAAGAGAAAUGAUGCAUGUAUGUGAUUUAAAUUAGUCAUAUUACUUGUAUAUUG